UAUACAUGCAAGUCGAGCGAAUGGAUUAAGAGCUUGCUCUUAUGAAGUUAGCGGCGGACGGGUGAGUAACACGUGGGUAACCUGCCCAUAAGACUGGGAUAACUCCGGGAAACCGGGGCUAAUACCGGAUAACAUUUUGAACCGCAUGGUUCGAAAUUGAAAGGCGGCUUCGGCUGUCACUUAUACGAUGGACCCGCGUCGCAUUAGCUAGUUGGUCGAGGUAACGGCUCACCAAGGCAACGAUGCGUAGCCGACCUGAGAGGGUGAUCGGCCACACUGGGACUGAGACACGACCCAGACUCCUACGGGAGGCAGCAGUAGGGAAUCUACCGCAAUGGACGAAAGUCUGACGGAGCAACGCCGCGUGAGUGAUGAAGGCUUUCGGGUCGUAAAACUCUGUUGUUAGGGAAGAACAAGUGCUAGUUGAAUAAGCUGGCACCUUGACGGUACCUAACCAGAAAGCCACGGCUAACUACGUGCCAGCAGCCGCGGUAAUACGUAGGUGGCAAGCGUUAUCCGGAAUUAUUGGGCGUAAAGCGCCGCGCAGGUGGUUUCUUAAGUCUGAUGUGAAAGCCCCACGGCUCAACCCGUGGAGGGUCAUUGGAAACUGGGAGACUUGAGUGCAGAAGAGGAAAGGUGGAAUUCCAUUGUGUAGCGGUGAAAUGGCGUAGAGAUUAUGGAGGAACACCAGUGGCGAAGGCGACUUUCUGGUCUGUAACUGACACUGAGGCGCGAAAGCGUGGGGAGCAAACAGGAUUAGAUACCCUGGUAGUCCACGCCGUAAACGAUGAGUGCUAAGUGUUAGAGGGUUUCCGCCCUUUAGUGCUGAAGUUAACGCAUUAAGCACUCCGCCUGGGGAGUACGGCCGCAAGGCUGAAACUCAAAGGAAUGGACGGGGGCCCGCACAAGCGGUGGACCAUGUGGUUUAAUUCGAAGCAACGCGAAGAACCCUUACCAGGUCUGGACAUCCUCUGACAACCCUAGAGAUAGGGCUUCUCCUUCGGGAGCAGAGUGACAGGUGGUCCAUGGUGGUCGUCAGCUCGGGUCGUGGAGAUGUUGGGUUAAGUCCCGCAACGAGGCGCAACCCUUGAUCUUAGGUGCCAUCAUUCAGUGGGCACAUCUUAAGGGGACUGCCGGGACCAAACCGGAGGAAGGUGGGGGAGGACGUCAAAUCAUCAUGCCCCUUAUGACUUGGCUACCCCACGUGCUACAAUGGAACGGUACAAGAGAGUGGCAAAGAACCGCGAGGGUGGAAUUAACUUUCAUAAAACCGUUUUCAGUUCGGAUUGUAGGUUGCAAUUGGCUUCCAGGAAGCGGGAAUCGUUAGUAAUCGGGGAUCACCAUGCCGCGGGGAAUACGUUCCCGGCCUUGGUCCACACCGCCCGUCACACCAGGAGAGUUGUACCACCGGAAGUCGGUGGGGUAACC
rnacentral:rRNA from 1 species